UUUAUGACUAGCCGUCAAACAACUAGCGCUUUCGAAUUUUUUUAAUCAAAGUUUUCCAAGGUUUGAGGUGUUCUCAGUGUUCUGCGCCUGAUAACCAAUCAUAAUGGAUGGGACUAUCUAUAAACACAACACCGUCGACGUGCUAGAUGCGGGAUCACUGCGACACGGCCGCGUCGUAGUCGACGUGGCGAACGUACGGUUUGUUCGUGGAUUUUCUCUGCCCCGAUCAGCGCCGUCAGUUCUAUCCCUUCCACCAGGUCUUUCUCUCGGACUACUGCCACUCCAUGGACAAUCGCGAACUACAAUUGCUCUUGAUACCAUCCAUCGCGAGCAACCAGAUGGCGGCGUUGAGGUUCUGGUGCGGGCAACCCCCUCACAACCCUUCACGUGGAUACCAGCCAGCGUGAUUUGGCCACAACCGGCCGUGCUCGAGGGCCUGCGCUGUACGGCCUUGGUGGAGUAUUCCCGUCCGGGCAUCGCUGGUGGGCAGCGGGAACUCGUCCCCACUGGGCGGCUGCGCAUUGCCGCCGGUGGUUGGCUGGAUGAGCCACUGGACGAUGACAUGACGCAGGCGGAACUACACAAGCGCGAGGAGGCCCUCGGGCAGGUAUGCGUCUCCCCGGGGCGGUUUGUUGUGCACCGGGUCCCCUUACCCAGCCGUCUGCGCACUAUGGCUCCGCCAACGCUGCUGGCCGCCAUGGAGACGCAACUGGAAAGCUGGAGCGGGUAUCAUCGGGCCGUCUGGACUGUUGUCCCAGCGGCGGUGGAAGGCGAAUCUGUAGUGUGUGUGGAGAAAUUGUGGCGGGAUGGUAAUAACGAGCCCCACGCGGUAAACAUGCCGAGAUUGCUGCAGAGGUUAUUCAUAGCAUCGCUGAUGUGAUCCACAGCUUGACCACCAGCGGUCUGCAGAUCAUCCCGCAUCCCCCAAUGACCAACACUUCCGCCGACAUUGACGAUCUCCCCUCUGAGCUGCUGUCCGAAACCUUCUCUUGCGUGGACAGCUUCCAACGGGUUCGAUUGCGUCGCGUGUGCCGUGCCUGGGCGGACAUCGUGGACGCGGCAGGCUUAUCCAACACCCUCGUGAUUCCCGGCGUCCUAUCUAGAUGCUACCAUAGGGAGCGCCUACACGACCCCGAGUAUACACUGGUGGCGGUUAUCUUUAAACGGCUGCGCAGAGGCACGUGCCGCCUCGUGCUCACCACUUGUCAAGGUGGAUCGCCCGAGAAACUCCCGCAUUUCCCAGAAAUGGAAACUGUGCGCCCUGCUGGAGCACAUGACACCCGCCAUCGGGUGUCGGCUGCGCUCCCUCACCGUGGCAUAUGCGGGAUGGGCGUGGAAGAUGCGGGUAACAGAGGCGGUCACCGUGCACACGGACCGCCCAUCCGAGAUGCAGUGCUUCCUGAACUCCUGUCGGCGUCUGCCGUCUGAGUUGAUCGUGUUAAUGGGAUUUACGGCGCAACUGGUGUGCCGCUUCCCAGAGUAUCCGCCGAUGGUGCUGGUGGUGCGAAUUCCGCGGAUGGUGCUGAAGAACGACGCGGAUAUUGAGUGCAUUCUGUGGAAUGCCCUGGAGACUGGGUUGCCGGCCGUGGACAGGGAGGAAUUGUCGGAGACGUUCGGUCACUGGUUGGGCGUACCCAUGGACUUCGUAAGGAAGUGACUUUUGAAAAUCGGAAAAGGUCAAAACGAAAUUCUGACUGCCGGUCGCUUACCCAUGCGCAGCAUGGGAAUCACCUGAUUAUCAUGACGCUGCCCAAGAUUUUGUGCGCGGUUCAAGGCUUAGAUCCACACCCAACUUCGCCUAACCAUGGUUUUCAAUUCUCUUGCGGCGAUAUGAACCAAGUCAAGAAACUGCCCGUCAUUCCUUCGUACUUUCUAAUGAAAGUCAUCUUUUCAUUUCCUUUUGUGUAAUGCAAUUUUCCGGUGAAUCGACCUGUGGACAAUUUGGUGACUACAUAAUUCUUUGUUUUUACUGCAAUUCCGGAUGAUUUACUCGUACAUAUAUGGGUCAUUGGGUUGCGUUUGUUGCCAACACUAUAUUUUAUACUGUACAGUGUAUCUUUCGUUUUCUAAUUUUUCGGACAAUUAAUUUU